UGCCAGCCGCCGCGGUAAUACGGAGGGGGCAAGCGUUGUUCGGAAUCACUGGGCGUGAAAGGGCGUGUAGGCGGCCUGAUCAAGUCGGGUGUGAAAGCCCUCGGCUCAACCGAGGAAUUGCAUUCGAUACUGGUUGGCUAGAGUCCGGGAGGGGGUAGCGGAAUUCCCAGUGUAGCGGUGAAAUGCGUAGAUAUUGGGAAGAACACCGGUGGCGAAGGCGGCUACCUGGACCGGAACUGACGCUGAGGCGCGAAAGCCAGGGGAGCAAAUGGGAUUAGAUA
rnacentral:rRNA from 1 species